AGAAAAGCCGUGCUCAACUUUCCUCUAGACGCCGGAAAGUAUGAAGCUCCUGCGAAUUCAGGACGGAAAAGGAAGAGAAGUGAUAUUCAAGAGGAGCCCCAAAGAAGUCAGAGCAACUCAUCUUCAUCGUCAAGUGAUGGAGAAACGACCUGUGAAUGAUGCAUUUAACAUGUAAGAGUGUGAGCAGUUUCAUUGUAUAAGUUAAUUUGUACAGAGCAAGUGAAGUUUAGGUUAGUGUGCUUAGGAACUCUUGCAACAAGUUUGUAUGGAUGUUCUGUUUCUUCAUGUCCAAAAAGACCAUAAGUUUUAGAAACAAGUUCUUGUUUCCAAGAAAAUUCUCUCGACAGACUUGAGUUUCCGAUCUUUAAACAAAAUUAGUUAUUAGGUAUUGUACUCCGUGAUUAGUCGAUGGUUUGAACCAAGAUAAACAAAUCAAUGUAGUAGCUGAAAUUUAGAACUGAACAUAAUUAUUAGCAAUUUUUUUAAUCGAAAUCAUUAUUUAUUGUAAAUGCACACGUCAAACACAAACAGAAGGAUCUUCAACCGUGCGACUCUGUGUUAUGAAAAAAAUGAAGAUCUUCUUUACUUGGAAAUUUUGUUUCACAUGUAACGCAAACGAGAAAAAAAAAUUGCGUUUGAAAUAAACAAGGUCUCAAUCUCUUACAUAGAAACUUCACCGAAAAAGGUUCAACAAGGGAGUGUACCUACCGUUUAUAGAAGGGGGAGUGAAUCAAGAUGAACAAGUUGCAUGAGGGACCAAUUUUAAGAAUGUAGCAGCAGCAAAUGUUUUGUCUCAGAGAGUCACAGGUUAGGUAUAAGUCAAGAUUCAUUGAUAAAGAAUAUGGACCACAAGCUACAGAGUCCAGAGACUUGAAAGAGAGAUGCAUAACUUGCAAAUGGAUAACAGAGAAG
rnacentral:lncRNA from 1 species